rnacentral:piRNA from 1 species
GACUGUCUUCUUUAAAUACCUACCCCCAA